rnacentral:rRNA from 1 species
CAGUAGCCACGGGAAUACGUAGGUGGCAAGCGUUGUCCGGAAUUAUUGGGCGUAAAGGACUCGCAGGCGGUUUCCUAAGUCUGAUGUGAAAUCCCCCGGCUCAACCGGGGAAGUGGCAUCGAUACGAGCGGCCUUGAGGGGGGUAGGGGGAUCUGGAACUUCCGGUGGAGCGGUGAAAUGCGUUGAGAUCGGAAGGAACGCCCGUGGCGAAAGCGAGGCCCUGGACCCUUUCUGACGCUGAGACGCGAAAGCCAGGGGAGCGAACGGGAUUAGAUACCCCUGUAGUCCCUGUCUCUUAUAC